GCGGCUAUAGUUUAAUGGUAAAACUCCUGCCUUCCAAGCAGGUAUCGUCGGUUCGAUUCCGACUAGCCGCUCCA
rnacentral:tRNA from 2 species